GAGCUCACGUUGGGCAUCCAACCGUCGGUAGAGCAUGAGACUCUUAAUCUCAGGGUCGUGGGAUCGAGCCCCACGUUGGGCA